AGGAUGAACGCUAGCGGCAGGCUUAACACAUGCAAGUCGAGGGGUAUGGUUCUUCGGAACCAGAGACCGGCGCACGGGUGCGUAACGCGUAUGCAAUCUACCUUUUACAGAGGGAUAGCCCAGAGAAAUUUGGAUUAAUACCUCAUAGUAUAUAGACUUCGCAUGAAGAUUAUAUUAAAGUCACAACGGUAAAAGAUGAGCAUGCGUCCCAUUAGCUAGUUGGUAAGGUAACGGCUUACCAAGGCAACGAU
rnacentral:rRNA from 1 species